UCCAGACUCCUACGGGAGGCAGCAGUGGGGAAUAUUGCACAAUGGGGGGAACCCUGAUGCAGCGACGCCGCGUGGGUGAAGGAGCACCUCGGUGCGUAAAGCCCUAUCGGCAGGGAAGAAACAGACGGUACCUGACUAAGAAGCCCCGGCUAACUACGUGCCAGCAGCCGCGGUAAUACGUAGGGGGCAAGCGUUAUCCGGAUUCACUGGGUGUAAAGGGAGCGUAGACGGCCAAGCAAGCCAGGGGUGAAAGCCCGGGGCCCAACCCCGGGACUGCCCUUGGAACUGCUUGGCUGGAGUGCGGGAGGGGCAGGCGGAAUUCCUGGUGUAGCGGUGAAAUGCGUAGAUAUCAGGAGGAACACCGGUGGCGAAGGCGGCCUGCUGGACUGCGACUGACGUUGAGGCCCGAAAGCGUGGGGAGCAAACAGGAUUAGAUACCCGAGUA
rnacentral:rRNA from 1 species